CCUACGGGAGGCAGCAGUGAGGAAUAUUGGUCAAUGGACGAGAGUCUGAACCAGCCAAGUAGCGUGAAGGAUGACUGCCCUAUGGGUUGUAAACUUCUUUUAUAAAGGAAUAAAACGAGGCACGUGUGCCUUUUUGCAUGUACUUUAUGAAUAAGGAUCGGCUAACGCCGUGCCAUCAGCCGCGGUAAUACGGAGGAUCCGAGCGUUAUCCGGAUUUAUUGGGUUUAAAGGGAGCGUAGAUGGGUUGUUAAGUCAGUUGUGAAAGUUUGCGGCUCAACCGUAAAAUUGCAAUUGAUACUGGCAGUCUUGAGUACAGGUGAGGUAGGCGGAAUUCGUGGUGUAGCGGUGAAAUGCUUAGAUAUCACGAAGAACCCCGAUUGCGAAGGCAGCUUACUAAACUGUGACUGACAUUGAGGCUCGAAAGUGUGGGUAUCAAACAGGAUUAGAUACCCCUGUAGUC
rnacentral:rRNA from 1 species